CCUACGGGCGGCAGCAGUGAGGAAUAUUGGUCAAUGGACGAGAGUCUGAACCAGCCAAGUAGCGUGAAGGAUGACUGCCCUAUGGGUUGUAAACUUCUUUUAUAUGGGAAUAAAACGUUCCACGUGUGGGAUUUUGUAUGUACCAUAUGAAUAAGGAUCGGCUAACUCCGUGCCAGCAGCCGCGGUAAUACGGAGGAUCCGAGCGUUAUCCGGAUUUAUUGGGUUUAAAGGGAGCGUAGGUGGAUUGUUAAGUCAAUUGUGAAAGUUUGCGGCUCAACCGUAAAAUUGCAGUUGAAACUGGCAGUCUUGAGUACAGUAGAGGUGGGCGGAAUUCGUGGUGUAGCGGUGAAAUACUUAGAUAUCACGAAGAACUCCGAUUGCGAAGGCAGUUCACUGGACUGCAACUGACACUGAGGCUCGAAAGUGUGGGUAUCAAACAGGAUUAGAUACCCGAGUAGUC
rnacentral:rRNA from 1 species